UACGUAGGUGGCAAGCGUUGUCCGGAAUUAUUGGGCGUAAAGAGCUCGUAGGCGGUCUGUCACGUCGGCUGUGAAAACCCGGGGCUUAACCCCGUGCCUGCUUCCGAUACGGGCAGACUAGAGGUAUGCAGGGGAGAAUGGAAUUCCUGGUGUAGCGGUGAAAUGCGCAGAUAUCAGGAGGAACACCGGUGGCGAAGGCGGUUCUCUGGGCAUUACCUGACGCUGAGGAGCGAAAGUGUGGGGAGCGAACAGG
rnacentral:rRNA from 1 species